rnacentral:rRNA from 1 species
CCUACGGGAGGCAGCAGUGGGGAAUAUUGCACAAUGGGGGAAACCCUGAUGCAGCGACGCCGCGUGAGUGAAGAAGUAUUUCGGUAUGUAAAGCUCUAUCAGCAGGGAAGAAAAUGACGGUACCUGAUUAAGAAGCCCCGGCUAACUACGUGCCAGCAGCCGCGGUAAUACGUAGGGGGCAAGCGUUAUCCGGAUGUACUGGGUGUAAAGGGAGCGUAGACGGCAGCACAAGUCUGGAGUGAAAUGCCUGGGCUUAACCCCGGAACUGCUUUGGAAACUGUGCAGCUAGAGUGCAGGAGAGGUAAGUGGAAUGCCAAGGGUAGCGGUGAAAGGCGUAGAUAUUAGGAGGAACACCAGUGGCGAAGGCGGCUUACUGGACUGUAACUGACGUUGAGGCGCGAAAGCGUGGGGAGCAAACAGGAUUAGAUACCCGUGUAGUC